rnacentral:rRNA from 1 species
UACGAAGGGGGCUAGCGUUGUUCGGAAUCACUGGGCGUAAAGAGCUCGUAGGCGGUUUGUUGCGUCGGCUGUGAAAACCCGGGGCUCAACUCCGGGCCUGCAGCCGAUACGGGCAGACUAGAGUUCGGCAGGGGAGACUGGAAUUCCUGGUGUAGCGGUGAAAUGCGCAGAUAUCAGGAGGAACACCGGUGGCGAAGGCGGGUCUCUGGGCCGAUACUGACGCUGAGGAGCGAAAGCGUGGGGAGCGAACAGG